AUGUCUUUAAUUUAAUGUUAAAAUAUAAAUCUCCAAAAUUUAUAAAUAAAGGUUCAAAUCCUUUAAGACAUG
rnacentral:tRNA from 1 species